GGAGUGUUCUCACCCCUCACCGAGAUGCACUCAAGGCCUAUUAGGACAGCUGAAGGAAUCCAUGAAAGAGACCGAGAAGAGAAGACUAGAAAGGAAGGUGCAGGAGAGGAUGGCUUCGCACAAGCAGGAGAGAAGGAGAAGUAAACAAUGUCAGUGGAGCAGGAAAUAGCUAUUUGUUCAUGAUUGCAUGAAAGUCAUCUUUGAAUGUGGUAUUUCAGUUGAAGAAGAUGAGUCUUCUGUAAAGAACUACGCAAUUGCAAAGAAGAAAAUGAAAACAGCGAUGAUGAUAUUAGAAGGAAUGGGAAGAAAAACUUCAGUGUUCUAGAAGAUGUCCCGACGAUAUUGAUAGUUCAAAAGGAAUGAAAAGAAUUGUUAGAUGUGCAAUGCACAGGCCAUCUUUAUAUUACAGCAGAUAGCUCAUCUUUCAAUCCAUCUGUUUUUCAAUGAGAUGUGAGCACCAGUUGUAACAACUUCAAUUGAAUUCUAAAUGGGGAAGACCAAGUUAAUUAAUUAAAGCCUUUGAAACUGUCUGAAAACUAUUAUUUUCUUGCAAUUGUUCCUUGCCAAAAAAAUACAGAAAAAAUUAGAUACUGAAAGUAUGAUAAAGUGUGUACCAUUUGAAUUUUCUCAUUAGUGCCUGGCUAUCUUCUGAGAAGGUGGAAGGGUGAUCCAUUCUUUCUCUCACUUUUGUAGUGAUGAGAGGUUUCAUUCGUUUUAAAGACUGGAUUUAAGCUUUAGUUCUCAGUGUAUUCGAUUGAAUUAUUGUCAGAUAUUUUGGAAAUAUUUUCUUUUCAUUUAAUUUCUCAGGACAGAAUCAUUUAUAUACAG